GAAACUUGAAGCUUGGAGAAACAUGCUUUUCAGACGAACAAUGCCAUAAUUCAAAGGGACGCCGAAAAUGUUCAAACAAUCGCUGCGCAUGUGAAGAAAGAUUUAUAGGAUAUACUUUUAUGGAUAAAUGUGUUCCUGAUUCCAUCCAUGAAAGAGGUGCUUCAUAUGGAGAAGAAUGCCUAUUCAGCGAGCAAUAUAAUUUUUAUGGAGGAGUCUGUUCAAGAAGCCAAACAUGCUCUUGUCGACCUGGUUUCUUUUACAAUACUGACAAAAAGCAUUGUUAUCAAGAUGUACAGGUACUUGGCAUUGUUAUAGCAACUGGUAUUCCUGGACUAGUUAUUGGUGUUUUCACGGGAUUUGUCUUAAUGUUCAUUACUCUAAGAAAAACAUAAAGGAACAAAAAUUUAAUUAUGAUUAUCAAGUGUUUGGUGAUUGGUCCUCUGCAGUUGGAAACAUCAACUUAAACGACUUACUUUUACGUUGAUAAUAACUCUAAAAAAGGAGUUUUGUUGUAAUGGUGAAUGUUCCAUAUCUGUUUCAUUUUAUUCUAAUAAAAUCAAACUUAAACACAUUUCAUUUCUUUGUUUACAUUUAUAUUGUAAGGAUUAG